rnacentral:rRNA from 1 species
GACGAACGCUGGCGGCGUGCUUAACACAUGCAAGUCGAACGAGGUCCAACCGGUGGCAACACCGGGGACGGCCUAGUGGCGAACGGGUGAGUAUCACGUGAGGAACCUGCCCCGAAGACCGGGAGUAACCCUCCGAAAGGAAGAGCUAAUACCGGAUGCCCUCACCGGACCGCAUGAUCUGGUGAGGAAAUGGAUUCCGGCUUCGGGAGGGCCUCGCGGCCUAUCAGCUUGUUGGUGGGGUAACGGCCCACCAAGGCUUCGACGGGUAGCUGGUCUGAGAGGA